AGUUGAGUGAGGUAAGUUCUCGAAAUCCUCGCACUCCACUUCUUCCAUGUAAGUCAUCCCACUUCUAUCUUGUUAAUUAUGUUCCAUUAAACCUGGAUGGGGUGUGGGCAUGGAACAUAGAGCAUGAUGCAAGAUUGUGAUGUGUAUAUGGUCUGGAGACUUGAUAUAGACUGAUAUAGAUUUUUUAACAAAUUGGUUAAGCCACUUAUUUUGAUCAACUCAUUAAAAAUUAGUUGAUAUGUAUGAACUGGGGUUAGUUUAGUUAGUAAGAAACCAUCUUGUCACGGACUAAGUUUGGUGGUGCUUGCCACCACCUUCUCCUUACCACCUUUCCCCCCACC
rnacentral:lncRNA from 1 species